UCUUGGGUAGUUCAAUGGUAGAGCAUCUGGCUGUUAACCAGAGAGUUAUAGGUUCGAGUCCUAUCCCAAGAGCCA
rnacentral:tRNA from 1 species